UACGGAGGGUGCAAGCGUUAUCCGGAUUCACUGGGUUUAAAGGGUGCGUAGGUGGAUUGGUAAGUCCGUGGUGAAAUCCCCAAGCUUAACUUGGGAACUGCCGUGGAUACUAUCAAUCUUGAAUAUCGUGGAGGUAAGCGGAAUAUGUCAUGUAGCGGUGAAAUGCUUAGAUAUGACAUAGAACACCAAUUGCGUAGGCAGCUUACUACACGAUCAUUGACGCUGAGGCACGAAAGCGUGGGGAUCAAACAGG
rnacentral:rRNA from 1 species